GAGGGUACAGCUCAGUGGCAGAGGGCAUGUUUAGCGAGCACGAGGUGCUGGGUUCAAUCCCCGGUACCAUCU
rnacentral:tRNA from 1 species